ACCAGCAAACAGACUGAAAAAGGAUUGAAAUUACCUCCUUUUCCCCUAGAAGUCAAGCUAUGAAGCACUUUAUAGUCUGUAAAUAAGCUGCAGGAGUGAUCCGUGUUCUUGAAGAGCUAGGUUGGCCCCAUUGGGUGGGGCUUAGUGUCAUGGCUCCUUUCUCCACUAGAUGGCGCUGCUUAGCUUACUAGAGUGGAUUGUUGUGGUGCUUGCAGGUGUGUAUGCACGUGUGCCAGAGUUGCGAAAAUGGCGUCACCCAGUUAUCCAGUCUGUAGUAUCCAGCUUCUGUGCUCUGCCCAACCAGCAAAUGCGCACCCGUCCUUUGUCUCCAGCCUCCGUCCACUCCCUGCUUUUACAUUGUGACCAAGCCGUGGGGUUGCCAGGCAGCACCUCCCUCCUGAGUUUUAUAUCAGAUGGGGCUGUGUUUCCCGACCCCUCACUUCUGAGGGACUGCGGCUUUGACCCGCUGAGAUCCUGUGGGUCUCACUGAGCAACGGCCAGGUGCAGGCUGCACCCAGAAAUGUUUGUGGGACCAUGCUGCUGCCGAUGCCCAGAGACUGCGGCUGAGUGCCAGCCUGCCCCAGAAAACCUUUGCGUGAUCAUGUAGCAGCAGCGUUUCAGGGAUUUUGGAAAAUCACAACACACAUCGGCACCAGGCUUCACUUUUAAGGACCUUGUUUCAGCACCCGCGAAUGUGGUUGUUCUCUGGGGUCCGCUGGGACCAGGUGGAUACACAGCUUCUACCAAAUGCAUUUCAGCAGUGGAACUGCUUCUCUCGUGUGGCCCGAGGACCUUCUGGACUCCAUUCUGCUCCUGGGGAUUCGCCCUUCUCACCAGAGCACCGCCAGAUACAUUAAUAUUGACAAGGGAGGAAGAAUACGUUUGGUCUAAGUAGGGAUGAAAAAGGUGGCAAUACACACAUGGCUUCUGGCUGGAGCAGAGUUACCAUGAGCCUCAGCCCUUGAGAUGAUGAAAUGUUCAGAGAGGACGCGACUGCAGCAGCCUGUGGUGUAUGUUUCCUUGGUAGAAGGUCACUCAGUCCCUAACUGUGCCCCAGAAGAGAGGAAACACACCCCUAAACCAUUUCUGGUUCGUCUUCUUCUCAUACAUCCAUAUACAUUUUCUUUUAUUCUGUGGGUUAAUUUUUAAGGGUGAACUGCUAAAACCACUGAAAUUUGCAAGGAUGUUAAAAGAUUUAGAUUCCAAUAAAUAAUUAUAGUGCCUCCUGAGUAUCAGUGUAAAUGCUUCCUUAUCACCUUAAAUUAUGACAAUAGAAGGUAAAUCUGGUUAGCAAACCUGGAGAAAUAAAUAUUUAAAGAAAAUGAAAACUCAGUUUAGGCUUAAGAAAUAUUUUUCAAACCUUCAUUUUCAGAGUCAGAAAUCUUUGUGGCUGUGAAUUCCUUGUGGAAAUUCACUAUGUGUCACACAACAGGGCAUGUCGGGGGAGCCCACCCAACACUCUUGUUCCCUCAUGAGGCUAUUUUGUAUGUCUGUAGUAUCCAAGAACUCUGCUACACAAUUUAAAAAGCAAUGGCUUAUAACGUUAAAUUUUUAAUAAAUACCAGUUUUGACAAUGA